rnacentral:rRNA from 1 species
UUAUCAGAGAGUUUGAUCCUGGCUCAGGAUGAACGCUGGCGGCGUGCUUAACACAUGCAAGUCGAACGGAGAUUGAUUUAACAGAGACUUCGGUUGAAGUUGUUUUAAUCUUAGUGGCGGACGGGUGAGUAACGCGUGGGUAACCUGCCUUGUACUGGGGGAUAACAGCCAGAAAUGACUGCUAAUACCGCAUAAGCGCACAGGACCGCAUGGUCUGGUGUGAAAAACUCCGGUGGUACAAGAUGGACCCGCGUUGGAUUAGCUAGUUGGCAGGGCAAAGGCCUACCAAGGCGACGAUCCA